rnacentral:rRNA from 1 species
AUGAACGCUGGCGGCGUGCCUAAUCCAUGCAAGUCGAGCGAACAGACGAGGAGCUUGCUCCUCUGACGUUAGCGGCGGACGGGUGAGUAACACGUGGAUAACCUACCUAUAAGACUGGGAUAACUUCGGGAAACCGGAGCUAAUACCGGAUAAUAUAUUGAACCGCAUGGUUCAAUAGUGAAAGACGGUUUUGCUGUCACUUAUAGAUGGAUCCGCGCCGCAUUAGCUAGUUGGUAAGGUAACGGCUUACCAAGGCGACGAUGCGUAGCCGACCUGAGAGGGUGAUCGGCCACACUGGAACUGAGACACGGUCCAGACUCCUACGGGAGGCAGCAGUAGGGAAUCUUCCGCAAUGGGCGAAAGCUUGACGGAGCAACGCCGCGUGAGUGAUGAAGGUCUUCGGAUCGUAAAACUCUGUUAUUAGGGAAGAACAAAUGUGUAAGUAACUAUGCACGUCUUGACGGUACCUAAUCAGAAAGCCACGGCUAACUACGCG